UGUGGUGAAAAGUCAGUCAGAACGGGAACGUCGUCGCGAGCUGUGCUUGGUAGCGCUCUCUGCCAGCUGUGUGUAACGCCAUUUUGUAACGCGAACGCAAUAGCCAGUCUGUGGACUGUGUCGGUCCACAAGUCCUUUCGUCCUUCGCCAAACGUCGUCGACGCUAAACGCUAAAAUAAAUCAUAAAUUCCAGAGUGUGUGUGUGCCGCCAAUCGAAUCGUAACGGUAUCGAAUCGCAUCGCAUCGCAACCAAUCGCAUAAAAUCAAAUAAAAUCAAAACGGGUCAGGAAAGCUGGGAAAAGUCCGAGAAAAGUGCGUCAGCAGCCGUUGAGCAGCCACAUCGCAUCAUCAGCGCUGAAAAUAAAUGUGUGCGACGCGUGUGAGAUAAAUUGGCAAAGCAACAGAGCCAACAGCAAAGCCGAAAAC